CGUUACUCUUAAAGGGGCCGCCGCACUCGCAGGCGGGCGCCCAGCGCCCGGGCCGGGGCGAGCGCAUGAGCCGCGCGCGCGGGCUGCUGUGCCGCGCCUGCCUCGCGCUGGCCGCGGUCCUGGCUGUAUUGCUGCUGCUGCCCCUGCCCCUGCCGCUGCCUCGCGCGCCCGCCCCGGACUCCGGCCGGCUCCCGACCCCGGGCCGGACCCCCGUGGUCUCCCGCCUGCAGCCCGACGACAUCUUCAUCGCUGUCAAGAGCACUCGGAAGAACCACGGUCCGCGCCUGCGGCUGCUGCUGCGCACCUGGAUCUCGCGAGCCCCACGACAGACGUUCAUCUUCACCGAUGGAGACGACCCUGAGCUCCAGCAGCUGGCAGGCGGCCGCAUGAUCAACACCAAUUGCUCUGCUGUGCGCACCCGCCAGGCACUAUGCUGUAAGAUGUCGGUGGAAUACGAUAAGUUCAUAGAGUCUGGACGAAGAUGGUUCUGCCACGUGGAUGAUGACAACUACGUGAACCCCAAAAGCCUGCUGCACUUGCUUUCCACUUUCUCGUCCAACCAGGACAUCUAUCUGGGACGACCGAGUCUGGACCACCCCAUCGAAGCCACUGAGAGGGUCCAGGGCGGAGGCUCAUCAAACACAGUGAAAUUCUGGUUUGCUACUGGUGGGGCUGGGUUCUGCCUGAGCAGGGGCCUUGCCCUCAAAAUGAGCCCAUGGGCCAGCCUCGGCAGUUUCAUGAGCACAGCGGAGCGGGUGCGGCUGCCUGAUGACUGCACGGUGGGCUACAUCGUGGAGGGGCUCCUGGGUGCCCGGCUGCUCCACAGCUCCCUGUUCCACUCGCACCUGGAGAACCUGCAGAGGCUGCCGUCCGAUGCUGUGCUGCAGCAGGUGAAGGACCCCGGAGGAAGAACUGACCCUCCCUCUCCCUGGUCCCCCCUCCCAGGUCACCCUGAGCUAUGGGGGCCCUGAGGACCCACGUAAUGUGGUGAACGUGGCCGGAAGCUUCAGUAUACAACAGGACCCUACACGGUUUCAGUCUGUGCACUGCCUUCUCUAUCCAGACACCCACUGGUGUCCUGUGAAGAACAGGGCUGAAGCAGCUUUUCAGUAACUGGCAGCCCCUGGCGCUGCUCUGCGCGGUUCCCUCAGCCCUUGGGUUCAGGCUGAAGCUGCUUGCAGGCUCCCAGGCUCCCUGCUCCAGCUGGACACCAGGAACCUCCAGAAAAUGAGGACAGCUGGGCCGUGCAUGCUGAGAUCAUCCCGGAACAAACACUGCUGAGCCGAGAUGCCUCUAGCCCAAAGGUCCUUCCCAUGGCUAAGGUCUCCUACCCGAGUGUCUGUGGCCCAGAAGGGGACUGGUUCUCAGCACCGCACAGCUGCAGCUUUCCUCACCUGUGGAAGAUGGUCCAGGUGGGCUGGCCAGUAAGGGGUGGGCUCCAAGCCUGCCCACAGGCUCUUCCAGAGGGCUCACAAGGCCCCUGCUACCACCCGGGAUGUGCAGAUGACCUGGCCAGUGGACACGAACGACCAGCUCCAAGGCUGUGCUUCCAAGCAGAUCUGCUGUUCUGCCACCAUCUGUGGCCUCCCGAGCUUCCCACAGGCCAAUAGCACAGCUAGAUCCUUUCCUCUGGGCCCCUCAGGAACAAGGGGCAGACCCAGGGGCACCCUGCGGGGGUCGGGGGCUGUCAGAGGAUUGAGUAAAGGCGUCUCUGUCAUUUCCA